rnacentral:misc_RNA from 1 species
UACGAAGGGGGCUAGCGUUGUUCGGAAUUACUGGGCGUAAAGCGCGCGCAGGCGGCUCUUCAAGUCAGGGGUGAAAGCCCGGAGCUCAACUCCGGAAUUGCCUUUGAAACUGUAGAGCUCGAGUACGGGAGAGGUGAGUGGAAUUCCCAGUGUAGAGGUGAAAUUCGUAGAUAUUGGGAAGAACACCGGUGGCGAAGGCGGCUCACUGGCCCGUAACUGACGCUCAUGCGCGACAGCGUGGGGAUCAAACAGG